rnacentral:rRNA from 1 species
AUGGCGGACGCCGCGGCGGCCGCGCAACUCCACCGCCGCCUCUUCGGCCGGCUGAACGAGGCGAUGGUGCACCUCUCGCAGCCAGUCGAGGCCCUCAAGCAGGCCCGGGUCUUUCUCGCCGACUGCGAGGAGACGUCCGGGGACCAGAUGGCGAGCCACCGGGCGCACGAGCAGGGCGACGCCCGCCUCGUGCGCCUCGCCCUCGCGCAUCUCGACAACUCGGCCGCGCAGCUGGAGUUCACGGCGGAGCUCCUCGCGUCGGCGCUCAAGCACGCGCUCGACAGCGGCGCCGCCCGGGACGCCCUCCCGGUCCUCCCCCAUGGCCAGUCGCCGCGUCAGAUCGCCGGCGCGCUGCUCGCCCUCCCCCACGCCUCCGACCUCCACCUCGUGCCGGUCUCGGUCCACAUCGCAUACUCCUGCGCCCGGCUCGCCAUCGACCACCACAUCCGCGUCUGCGCCUCCUUCCUCCGCCGCUGCGGCCUGGACCCCCAUCCACUGCAGCCGCCCAUCCACCAAGCGCGCGCCUACCUGGCCUGGGCUUACGCGCUCGUGACCGCCGCCUGGGGCCACACAUUCGACGCCGUGUAUGCCGACAUGACCUAG